rnacentral:rRNA from 1 species
CGAAUGCUGACAUAAGUAACGAUAAAGCGGGUGAAAAGCCCGCUCGCCGGAAGACCAAGGGUUCCUGUCCAACGUUAAUCGGGGCAGGGUGAGUCGACCCCUAAGGCGAGGCCGAAAGGCGUAGUCGAUGGGAAACAGGUUAAUAUUCCUGUACUUGGUGUUACUGCGAAGGGGGGACGGAGAAGGCUAUGUUGGCCGGGCGACGGUUGUCCCGGUUUAAGCGUGUAGGCUGGUUUUCCAGGCAAAUCCGGAAAAUCAAGGCUGAGGCGUGAUGACGAGGCACUACGGUGCUGAAGCAACAAAUGCCCUGCUUCCAGGAAAAGCCUCUAAGCAUCAGGUAACAUCAAAUCGUACCCCAAACCGACACAGGUGGUCAGGUAGAGAAUACCAAGGCGCUUGAGAGAACUCGGGUGAAGGAACUAGGCAAAAUGGUGCCGUAACUUCGGGAGAAGGCACGCUGAUAUGUAGGUGAAGUCCCUCGCGGAUGGAGCUGAAAUCAGUCGAAGAUACCAGCUGGCUGCAACUGUUUAUUAAAAACACAGCACUGUGCAAACACGAAAGUGGACGUAUACGGUGUGACGCCUGCCCGGUGCCGGAAGGUUAAUUGAUGGGGUCAGCGCAAGCGAAGCUCUUGAUCGAAGCCCCGGUAAACGGCGGCCGUAACUAUAACGGUCCUAAGGUAGCGAAAUUCCUUGUCGGGUAAGUUCCGACCUGCACGAAUGGCGUAAUGAUGGCCAGGCUGUCUCCACCCGAGACUCAGUGAAAUUGAACUCGCUGUGAAGAUGCAGUGUACCCGCGGCAAGACGGAAAGACCCCGUGAACCUUUACUAUAGCUUGACACUGAACAUUGAGCCUUGAUGUGUAGGAUAGGUGGGAGGCUUUGAAGUGUGGACGCCAGUCUGCAUGGAGCCGACCUUGAAAUACCACCCUUUAAUGUUUGAUGUUCUAACGUGGACCCGUGAUCCGGGUUGCGGACAGUGUCUGGUGGGUAGUUUGACUGGGGCGGUCUCCUCCUAAAGAGUAACGGAGGAGCACGAAGGUUGGCUAAUCCUGGUCGGACAUCAGGAGGUUAGUGCAAUGGCAUAAGCCAGCUUGACUGCGAGCGUGACGGCGCGAGCAGGUGCGAAAGCAGGUCAUAGUGAUCCGGUGGUUCUGAAUGGAAGGGCCAUCGCUCAACGGAUAAAAGGUACUCCGGGGAUAACAGGCUGAUACCGCCCAAGAGUUCAUAUCGACGGCGGUGUUUGGCACCUCGAUGUCGGCUCAUCACAUCCUGGGGCUGAAGUAGGUCCCAAGGGUAUGGCUGUUCGCCAUUUAAAGUGGUACGCGAGCUGGGUUUAGAACGUCGUGAGACAGUUCGGUCCCUAUCUGCCGUGGGCGCUGGAGAACUGAGGGGGGCUGCUCCUAGUACGAGAGGACCGGAGUGGACGCAUCACUGGUGUUCGGGUUGUCAUGCCAAUGGCACUGCCCGGUAGCUAAAUGCGGAAGAGAUAAGUGCUGAAAGCAUCUAAGCACGAAACUUGCCCCGAGAUGAGUUCUCCCUGACCCUUUAAGGGUCCUGAAGGAACGUUGAAGACGACGACGUUGAUAG